rnacentral:lncRNA from 14 species
CUUUGAACUAACACGUGCUACAACCUAGUACUUUUGUAGAGACACAUUUACAUCUGGAAGCAGCUGCACCCUUUGCAGAUCAAAGCUGGUUUCUGUGAAGAAUGGCUAAACACAGAGGAUGUAAAGCACCCUUUGCUCCCAUGGUGGAUUUUGUCAGGCAGUGCUGUAUCUUUAGCUGUGCAAGGAUUUUCCAUGCUUGGGAUUCUCUGCUGUGUUUCGAAUUCACUAGGAAAUAGGUAAGUAGGUACUAUCAUUACUCAUGAUACGGGUAAGUCAACACAGUAUUCUCCACCAGCCAGUACUGUACAGAAAAGGGGGAAGGGAUUAACCAUAAAUUAAUCCAUUAACCAUAGGAUUCUCUUCUUCACUGAGAAUCAUAAAUACAGUUGAUUAUAUAUGCAAUGACUGAGCUUGUAACACAGUUCUGAAAUUCGUAGACAUUUAUGCUCUGUAAAGUUAUAAAAUACAGGCCUGGAAGGGACCUUCAGAAGUCACAUGGCUUUUCCAUAAUAGAAUCAUAUGCAAUAUAUAGAACUACCAAAUUAAAAUAGGUAUUACAAAAUUGAAAGUUAUAUAUACACAACAAAUACUGGGCAUUGAAAAUGCUUAGUUCUAAAUGGCUGUAGCUUUACAGUAUGCUGGUUAAUGCUUUGUAAGUUUGAUUUUGUACGUGUGCAUGAAUACACAUACCCACACACCCUCUCCUAAGUGCCAGAGUCACAAUAGUAGGAAGUAAUUCCCCAGCUGCUUGUUACAGAGUAAGACACAGCAUUUGCCUUCCACUUUAUCUGUAUCCCCCCUCUGAAUCUGUCUCUACUAGAGCUACUUCCUCCAUAGCUGCAAGAGGAGCUCCACAAAUGAGCCUCUUCAUUCUUCUUCCCAAGAUGAAGAAAGCUCUUGGCAAAGAUAGACCAUAAUUAAACCUGCUGUAAGCUGCUGCAGAUCCAUGACCAAUACAGAGAAGUCUCCGGAAUAGCUGGCUCCAGAAACAGAAACUAGGAGCCAGCCCGAUUACUUUCUGAGACGGGUGUCUGUAUGAAGUUUGCAUACAUGAACUGCUCACAGAACUGCUUUUCUACAUUUACCUGUUAUCCCUAGUGACUCGCAAAGCAGUCCCAAGUUUACUAAACUCUGGAGUACCUACAGUGUGCUUCAGAAACUUUUGGAAGUUUUCAGCACCUAUGUCAAAAUUUUCCUUCAAAGCACAGCUGAUAAACACUACAAUUUAAAAGUAGACAAAGGAUAGUGUAUGUUCCACUCAAAGGUAUUUGUAUUUUCUAAACCAACAUCCCUCAAAAUCCAUGUAAAAACAUGAUUUGGUAUAACGUUUAUUGACUCUCUACGACAAUGUAAACUAAAAUUGUAUGUGGCUCUGACAGGAGUCCUGCAGCAGCCACAAACACACCACGGUUACAUUAGCCACUGUUUUACACAUACCAGCUCUAUGCUUUAGAGAUCUUCAUCCAACAGCACCAAUGGGUGGAAAAUAAAUUUUUAUUUUAUUUUCCCCUUAAUUCA